rnacentral:rRNA from 1 species
GUGGGGAAUAUUGCACAAUGGGGGAAACCCUGAUGCAGCGACGCCGCGUGAAGGAAGAAGUAUCUCGGUAUGUAAACUUCUAUCAGCAGGGAAGAUAAUGACGGUACCUGACUAAGAAGCCCCGGCUAACUACGUGCCAGCAGCCGCGGUAAUACGUAGGGGGCAAGCGUUAUCCGGAUUUACUGGGUGUAAAGGGAGCGUAGGCGGCGGAGCAAGUCAGAAGUGAAAGCCCGGGGCUCAACCCCGGGACGGCUUUUGAAACUGCCCUGCUUGAUUUCAGGAGAGGUAAGCGGAAUUCCUAGUGUAGCGGUGAAAUGCGUAGAUAUUAGGAGGAACACCAGUGGCGAAGGCGGCUUACUGGACUGACAAUGACGCUGAGGCUCGAAAGCGUGGGGAGCAAACAGGAUUAGAAACCCCGGUAGUCC